rnacentral:rRNA from 1 species
AUUGAACGCUGGCGGCAGGCCUAACACAUGCAAGUCGAACGGAGUGGCGGACGGGUGAGUAAUGUAUCGGAACGUGCCCAGUAGCGGGGGAUAACUACGCGAAAGCGUAGCUAAUACCGCAUACUAUUGGAGCGGCCGAUAACGGAUUAGCUAGUGGGUGGGGUAACGGCUCACCAAGGCGACGAUCCGUGGCUGGUUUGGGCGGACGACCAGCCACACUGGGAGUGAUACACGGCCCAGCCGCCUACGGGAGGCAGCAGUGGGGAAUUUUGGACAAUGGUGGAAAGCCGGACCCAGCCAUCCCGCGUGUGGGAUGAAGGCCUGCGGGUUGUAAAGCACUUUUGGCAGGAAAGCGGUACCUGCAGAAUAAGCACCGGCUAACUACGUGCCAGCAGCCGCGGUAAUAC